UACGAAGGGGGCUAGCGUUGUUCGGAAUUACUGGGCGUAAAGCGCACGUAGGCGGGUUGUUAAGUCAGGGGUGAAAUCCUGGAGCUCAACUCCAGAACUGCCUUUGAUACUGGCAACCUAGAGACUGGAAGAGGUUAGUGGAAUUCCCAGUGUAGAGGUGAAAUUCGUAGAUAUUGGGAAGAACACCAGUGGCGAAGGCGGCUAACUGGUCCAGCACUGACGCUGAGGUGCGAAAGCGUGGGGAGC
rnacentral:rRNA from 1 species